rnacentral:rRNA from 1 species
GACAGAUGGGAGCUUGCUCCCUGAUGUUAGCGGCGGACGGGUGAGUAACACGUGGGUAACCUGCCUGUAAGACUGGGAUAACUCCGGGAAACCGGGGCUAAUACCGGAUGGUUGUUUGAACCGCAUGGUUCAAACAUAAAAGGUGGCUUCGGCUACCACUUACAGAUGGACCCGCGGCGCAUUAGCUAGUUGGUGAGGUAACGGCUCACCAAGGCAACGAUGCGUAGCCGACCUGAGAGGGUGAUCGGCCACACUGGGACUGAGACACGGCCCAGACUCCU